rnacentral:rRNA from 1 species
GAUCAUGCUCAGGACGAACGCUGGCGGCGUGCCUAAUACAUGCAAGUAGAACGCUGAAGGAGGAGCUUGCUUCUCUGGAUGAGUUGCGAACGGGUGAGUAACGCGUAGGUAACCUGCCUGGUAGCGGGGGAUAACUAUUGGAAACGAUAGCUAAUACCGCAUAAUAGUAGAUGUUGCAUGACAUUUGCUUAAAAGGUGCAAUUGCAUCACUACCAGAUGG